rnacentral:rRNA from 1 species
UACAGAGGUCCCAAGCGUUGUUCGGAUUCACUGGGCGUAAAGGGUGCGUAGGCGGUCGGGUAAGUCUGACGUGAAAUCUUCAAGCUCAACUUGGAAACUGCGUCCGAUACUAUUCGGCUAGAGGAAUGGAGGGGAGACUGGAAUACUUGGUGUAGCAGUGAAAUGCGUAGAUAUCAAGUGGAACACCAGUGGCGAAGGCGAGUCUCUGGACAGUUCCUGACGCUGAGGCACGAAGGCCAGGGGAGCGAACGGG